AUGAAGACCAUUCUCAGGAAUCAGAUUAAACAUUCCAGAAAAUGUCAAUAUCACUCUGAAUGGACUCACAGUUACGAAGGGCCCCAGAGGAACUCUGCAGAGAGACUUCACUCAUAUUAAUGUAGAACUCGGUCUACUUGGAAAGAAAACAGAGGCUUCAAGUUGGCACAGUGGAGAAAUAAGACAGGAAUUUGCUCUGGUUCACACUAUCCAUAGUCAUGUACAGAACAGGAUCCAGAACAUUACACUAGGCUUCCAUUACAAGAUGAAGUCUGUGUAUGCUACAGGAUGAAGUCUGUGUAUGCUUACUUCCUACUCAGCAUUGUCAUUCAGGAGAAUGGGUCUCUUGUUGACAUUAGAAAUUUCUUAAGUGAAAAAUACAUCUGCAAGGUUCAGAUGAGGCCAAGUGUGGCUUGUUCCAUCAGUAUGUCAAGCCCAGAAAGAGGAGUUCAUUUUUGAAGCUAAUAACAGUAAACUUGUACCAAAUUCAGCUUCUUUGAUUUAGCAAGUUACAGCAGUUAAAAACAAGGAUACCAAAAAAUUGUUGGAUGGUAUCUAUGUCUCUAAGAAAGGAACAGUUCCGCUGUCUGAUGAAUAA
rnacentral:lncRNA from 10 species